UUGGUUAAGUUAGAAAGGGCGCACGGUGGAUGCCUUGGCACUAGGAGUCGAUGAAGGACGGCACUAACACCGAUAUGCCUCGGGGAGCUGUAAGUGAGCUUUGAUCCGGGGAUUUCCGAAUGGGGAAACCCCCUAUCUUUAAUCGGAUAGGACACUCACGCGAAUUCAUAGCGUGUUUGAGACAUACCCAGGGAACUGAAACAUCUAAGUACCUGGAGGAAGAGAAAGCAAAUUGCGAUUCCCUGAGUAGCGGCGAGCGAAACGGGAUCAGCCCAAACCAAGAGGCUUGCCUCUUGGGGUUGUAGGACACUCUGUACGGAGUUACAAAAUCCGAAUUUAAGCGAAGCGACCUGGAACGGUCCGCGAUACGAGGUAACAGCCCUGUAGCUGAAAGGUUCGGAUCUCCAGAGUGGAUCCUGAGUACGGCGGAACACGUGAAAUUCCGUCGGAAUCCGGGAGGACCAUCUCCCAAGGCUAAAUACUUCCUAGUGACCGAUAGUGAACCAGUACCGUGAGGGAAAGGUGAAAAGCACCCCGGAAGGGGAGUGAAAUAGAUCCUGAAACCGUGUGCCUACAAGUAGUCAGAGCCCGUUAAGGGGUGAUGGCGUGCCUUUUGUAGAAUGAACCGGCGAGUUACGAUUGCAUGCAAGGUUAAGGUGAGAAGCCGGAGCCGCAGCGAAAGCGAGUCUGAAUAGGGCGACGGAGUAUGCAGUUGUAGACCCGAAACCAGGUGAUCUACCCAUGUCCAGGGUGAAGGCAAGGUAACACUUGCUGGAGGCCCGAACCCACGCACGUUGAAAAGUGCGGGGAUGAGGUGUGGGUAGCGGAGAAAUUCCAAUCGAACCUGGAGAUAGCUGGUUCUCUCCGAAAUAGCUUUAGGGCUAGCCUCAAGAUUGAGAAUCCUGGAGGUAGAGCACUGUUUGGACUAGGGGCCCAUCCCGGGUUACCGAAUUCAGACAAACUCCGAAUGCCAGUGAUUUAUGCUUGGGAGUCAGACUGCGAGUGAUAAGAUCCGUAGUCAAGAGGGAAACAGCCCAGACCACCAGCUAAGGUCCCCAAAUAUCCGUUAAGUGGAAAAGGAUGUGGCGUUGCUUAGACAACCAGGAUGUUGGCUUAGAAGCAGCCAUCAUUUAAAGAGUGCGUAAUAGCUCACUGGUCGAGUGACACUGCGCCGAAAAUGUACCGGGGCUAAACGGAUUACCGAAGCUGUGGAUGAAUCUCGUAGAGAUUCGUGGUAGGAGAGCGUUCUAAGGGCGUUGAAGCUGGACCGGAAGGACCGGUGGAGCGCUUAGAAGUGAGAAUGCCGGUAUGAGUAACGAAAGACGGGUGAGAAUCCCGUCCACCGAAUGCCUAAGGUUUCCUGAGGAAGGCUCGUCCGCUCAGGGUUAGUCGGGACCUAAGUCGAGGCCGAUAGGCGUAGACGAUGGACAACAGGUUGAUAUUCCUGUACCACCUCCCCGCCGUUUGAGCAAUGGGGGGACGCAGAAGGAUAAGGCGAGCGCGCCGUUGGUUGUGCGCGUCCAAGCAGUGAGGCGUGGAAUGAGGCAAAUCCCAUUCCUGAUACGCCAAGCUGUGACGGCAAGGAGAAUUUUCUCCGGAGUCCCUGAUUUCACACUGCCAAGAAAAGCCUCUAGCGAGGCGGGAGGUGCCCGUACCGCAAACCGACACAGGUAGGCGAGAAGAGAAUUCUAAGGUGAGCGAGUGAACUCUCGUUAAGGAACUCGGCAAAAUGACCCCGUAACUUCGGGAGAAGGGGUGCUCUGGUAGGGUGAAUAGCCCGAGAGAGCCGCAGUGAAUAGGCCCAGGCGACUGUUUAGCAAAAACACAGGUCUCUGCAAAACCGUAAGGUGACGUAUAGGGGCUGACGCCUGCCCGGUGCUGGAAGGUUAAGGGGAGUGCUUAGCGCAAGCGAAGGUGCGAACUGAAGCCCCAGUAAACGGCGGCCGUAACUAUAACGGUCCUAAGGUAGCGAAAUUCCUUGUCGGGUAAGUUCCGACCCGCACGAAAGGCGUAACGAUCUGGGCACUGUCUCAACGAGAGACUCGGUGAAAUUAUAGUACCUGUGAAGAUGCAGGUUACCCGCGACAGGACGGAAAGACCCCGUGGAGCUUUACUGUAGCCUGAUAUUGACUUUUGGUGCAACUUGUACAGGAUAGGUAGGAGCCUGAGAGCCCGGAGCGCCAGCUUCGGGGGAGGCGUCGGUGGGAUACUACCCUGGUUGUAUUGAAAGUCUAACCCACGCCCCUGAUCGGGGCGGGAGACAGUGUCAGGCGGGCAGUUUGACUGGGGCGGUCGCCUCCUAAAGAGUAACGGAGGCGCCCAAAGGUUCCCUCAGAAUGGUUGGAAAUCAUUCGCAGAGUGUAAAGGCACAAGGGAGCUUGACUGCGAGACGUACAGGUCGAGCAGGGUCGAAAGACGGGCUUAGUGAUCCGGUGGUUCCGCAUGGAAGGGCCAUCGCUCAACGGAUAAAAGCUACCCCGGGGAUAACAGGCUUAUCUCCCCCAAGAGUCCACAUCGACGGGGAGGUUUGGCACCUCGAUGUCGGCUCAUCGCAUCCUGGGGCUGUAGUCGGUCCCAAGGGUUGGGCUGUUCGCCCAUUAAAGCGGUACGCGAGCUGGGUUCAGAACGUCGUGAGACAGUUCGGUCCCUAUCCGUCGCGGGCGCAGGAAAUUUGAGAGGCGCUGUCCUUAGUACGAGAGGACCGGGAUGGACACACCGCUGGUGUACCAGUUGUUCCGCCAGGGGCAUCGCUGGGUAGCUAUGUGUGGCCGGGAUAAGUGCUGAAAGCAUCUAAGCACGAAGCCCCCCUCAAGAUGAGAUUUCCCAUUGCGCAAGCAAGUAAGAUCCCUCAAAGACGAUGAGGUAGAUAGGUUCGAGGUGGACGCGUGGCGACAUGUGCAGCUGACGAAUACUAAUCGAUCGAGGACUUAACCAAUUUUGUUUCGUUUCAUCCGUCGUGUA
rnacentral:rRNA from 1 species